rnacentral:rRNA from 1 species
AGGGCAAGUCUGGUGCCAGCAGCCGCGGUAAUUCCAGCUCCAAUAGCGUAUAUUAAAGUUGUUGCAGUUAAAAAGCUCGUAGUUGAAUUUCAGGAUCAAUUUAUUGGUCGUGCCAACGGUACGCACUGGUACAAUUGGUUUCUCCCUUCUGACGAAGCAUGAUGUCAUUAAUUUGAUGUCGUGGGGAAUCAGGACUGUUACUUUGAAAAAAUUAGAGUGUUUAAAGCAGGCUUUGGCUUGAAUACAUUAGCAUGGAAUAAUGAAAUAGGACGUUUGAUCUUAUUUCGUUGGUUUCUAAGAUCGACGUAAUGAUUAAUAGGGAUAGUUGGGGGCAUUAGUAUUCAAUUGUCAGAGGUGAAAUUCUUGGAUUUAUUGAAGACUAACUACUGCGAAAGCAUUUGCCAAGGAUGUUUUCAUUAAUCAAGAACGAAAGUUAGGGGAUCGAAGACGAUCAGAUACCGUCGUAGUCUUAACCAUAAACUAUGCCGACUAGGGAUCGGAUGAUGUUAAUUUUUUAAUGACUCAUUCGGCGCCUUACGGGAAAC